AAUGUCGAGUUGCAGAGGUUGAAACGGUUCUAACAAAACAGAAUCUCUUGCACUCGGAACCCUUAAGGUAGAGCGCAGCUGACCACCAAAAAUUUGGCUUAUAGGAGACCUUUCAACAGUAGCAGAUCUAGCAAUUACUGGCUUUUUAUUUUUACCAACUUCGGUCCAGCCACUAGCUUCUACAGAAGAUUGAUCAUCAAAACUAUCUAAACCAGACUUGAUACCAUUUGAAAUUUUGAUAUCAGAUUUUGGAUUUCUUUCGUCAUUUUUUAAUAAAUAAUGUCUACGUUCACGCACGAAUUCUUCAUGUAAUUCGUCAAGAAACAAAUUCAAAAACUCCUCAGCAUCCUCCUGUUCGCCGGUCUGCAACAUUUCAAAUCGAGGAUUCCCCUUAGUAGCUGAAUAUACCACUUCUGGCAA